AUUGAACGCUGGCGGCAGGCCUAACACAUGCAAGUCGAACGGUAGCACAGAGAGCUUGCUCUCGGGUGACGAGUGGCGGACGGGUGAGUAACGUCUGGGAAACUGCCUGAUGGAGGGGGAUAACUACUGGAAACGGUAGCUAAUACCGCAUAACGUCGCAAGACCAAAGUGGGGGACCUUCGGGCCUCACACCAUCGGAUGUGCCCAGAUGGGAUUAGCUAGUAGGUGGGGUAAUGGCUCACCUAGGCGACGAUCCCUAGCUGGUCUGAGAGGAUGACCAGCCACACUGGAACUGAGACACGGUCCAGACUCCUACGGGGGGCAGCAGUGGGGAAUAUUGCACAAUGGGCGCAAGCCUGAUGCAGCCAUGCCGCGUGUAUGUAGAAGGCCUUCGGGUUGUAAAGUACUUUCAGCGGGGAGGAAGGCGGUGGAGUUAAUAACUUCACCGAUUGACGUUACCCGCAGAAGAAGCACCGGCUAACUCCGUGCCAGCCGCCGCGGUAA
rnacentral:rRNA from 1 species